ensembl:ribozyme RNaseP_nuc Nuclear RNase P
GAAGAUCUGAGGCUGGAGCCUCCUACAGCCCUAACGAGGCUUUCCUUUAGUUGGGAAAUGAGUCCCCAGAGAGCAGGGCUCCAGGCCUGGACAGACUGGCAGGGGAUACCCCAAGUGGGCAGAUGUAUCACUCAAGAGAAACUGCAACUGACUCCUGAUCACUCCAUUUGUUCAG